GAUGAACGCUAGCGAUAGGCUUAACACAUGCAAGUCGAGGGGCAGCACAAGGUAGCUUGCUAUCUGGGUGGCGACCGGCGCACGGGUGCGUAACGCGUAUGCAACUUGCCCUAUACAGGAGGAUAACCCGUCGAAAGACGGACUAAUACUGCGUAUACUCACAACUUGGCAUCAAGUGGUGAGGAAAGAAAUUCGGUAUAGGAUAGGCAUGCGUCCCAUUAGCUUGUUGGUGAGGUAACGGCUCACCAAGGCAACGAUGGGUAGGGGAACUGAGAGGUUUAUCCCCCACACUGGUACUGAGACACGGACCAGACUCCUACGGGAGGCAGCAGUGAGGAAUAUUGGUCAAUGGGCGCGAGCCUGAACCAGCCAAGUCGCGUGAAGGAUGACUGUCUUAUGGAUUGUAAACUUCUUUUAUACGGGAAUAACAAGAGUCACGUGUGACUCCCUGCAUGUACCGUAUGAAUAAGCAUCGGCUAACUCCGUG
rnacentral:rRNA from 1 species